rnacentral:tRNA from 1 species
AGUAAAGUGGCCGACUUAAGGUGUUAGAUUGUAAAUCUAAUCAUGGAACUAUUCCCUUUACUA